GGAUUAAAGAUUAAUUUUAGGUGUAGUUUAAAGAGCCGCGGUAUUGACCGUGCAAAGGUAGCAUAAUCAUUAGUUUCUUAAUUAGAGGCUUGAAUGAAUGGUUUGACGAGAAAUUAACUGUCUCUUAAUAAAUUUUAGAAUUUAACUUUUAAGUUAAAAGGCUUAAAUACUUCUUUAGGACGAGAAGACCCUAUAGAGCUUGAUAUUUAUAAGUUUUAUAUUAUUUUAGGUUAUCUUUUUAUGUAAUUUUUUAUUAUUUGGUUGGGGUGACAUGAAGAAUAAUUAAACUCUUCAUUAUUAAAUCAUUGAUUUAUGUUCAUUUGAUCCAUAAUUUAUGAUCAUAAGAUUAAGUUACCUUAGGGAUAACAGCGUAAUCAUUUUUGAGAGUUCAUAUUGACAAAAUGGAUUGCGACCUCGAUGUUGGAUUAAGAUUAAGAUUAAUUUUAGGUGUAGUA
rnacentral:rRNA from 1 species